GAGGCCUUUGGAAACGUCAGGUUCUUCCCCGCCCUAUGCCGGCUACUCUGCAAUUACAGAGGCCCAGCCCCCGGCCCUGGAGCUGGAGGUUGCUAUGAGCAUGGAUUCAGGGCCAUCCUGUGGGUCUCCCUGAAGACAGCAAAGGAAGAGCAAACGCCACCCCUGUUCGGUGGCCUGCAUUUGCAGGGUGGUCAGAUACAACUGGUCUCACUGUGCACCCAGCAACUUGAUGUGGGGUCGGUUUUCUGAGCCAAGGAACAAGGCUGCCAGCCGCUCCCCUGGCUCGUGCCAAUCACGAUGCCUGCUGCUCGGUGUGCCCCACACCCUCACAGGUGCCCUCAGCUGCCCCAGCGCAGCCUAGCCCAGUUCCAGCGGGCAUCAGGAUCUGAAGUUUCCAGGUCCCACCUCUUGGCAUGCCACCAGACCUGCCCUGCCAGGGAGCCAGGGACACUUGGGCACGAGCGACCCCUGGGGUCUGGGGGCAGGACUAGUGGCCUCAGGGGCUGGAACUCCUGUCCUUCGCCUCCUCCCCUCCUGCGUCUUGCCCUGUCUCUUUCCAGCUCCUUGACCUGAAGCGGGUUACUUAACCUCUUAGAAUCUCAGUUUUCCCAUCUAUAAAUGGGGCUACUAAUUCCUACCUUGUGCUGUUGUUGUGAGAAUCAAAUGAGAAGCUCCCUGUAAAAUGCUC